rnacentral:rRNA from 1 species
UACGAGGGGGGCAAGCGUUGUUCGGAAUUAUUGGGCGUAAAGGGCGCGUAGGCGGUGCGGUAAGUCACCUGUGAAACCUCUAGGCUCAACCUAGAGCCUGCAGGCGAAACUGCCGUGCUUGAGUCCGAUAGAGGUGGGUGGAAUUCCUAGUGUAGAGGUGAAAUUCGUAGAUAUUAGGAAGAACACCGGUGGCGAAGGCGGCCCACUGGAUCGGUACUGACGCUGGAGGUGCGAAAGACGUGGGGAGCAAACAGG